GAUGAACGCUGGCGGCGUGCCUAAUACAUGCAAGUCGAGCGAACGGACGAGAAGCUUGCUUCUCUGAUGUUAGCGGCGGACGGGUGAGUAACACGUGGAUAACCUACCUAUAAGACUGGGAUAACUUCGGGAAACCGUAGCUAAUACCGGAUAAUAUUUUGAACCGCAUGGUUCAAAAGUGAAAGACGGUCUUGCUGUCACUUAUAGAUGGAUCCGCGCUGCAUUAGCUAGUUGGUAAGGUAACGGCUUACCAAGGCAACGAUGCAUAGCCGACCUGAGAGGGUGAUCGGCCACACUGGAACUGAGACACGGUCCAGACUCCUACGGGAGGCAACAGUAGGGAAUCUUCCGCAAUGAGCGAAAGCCUGACGGAGCAACGCCGCGUGAGUGAUGAAGGUCUUCGGAUCGUAAAACUCUGUUAUUAGUGAAGAACAUAUGUGUAAGUAACUGUGCACAUCUUGACGGUACCUAAUCAGAAAGCCACGGCUAACUACGUG
rnacentral:rRNA from 1 species